ACCAAAUCUGAUCACUGAAGUGAAGGCGGCUCUGAGUUCUCCCUUUUCAUCAACAUCAUUGGUCUGCUUUGACUGAAGGUGGACCAUGUUUGCCACAGCCCUCCCCAAAGCCCUGCCCCACAACCCUCCCUUCAACGAAAACAUUAUCCACUAAACAGGAUGAAAUUUCUCUAGGAUUAAAUGUAUUCAUCGACAAACUGGCAUGGGCUGUGGCUCAGAAUGCAAACUUUUGUGAGAACACUCCUGACAGCAGUGUUCCCAACUGAUGGGCUCCUUGUGAGCAAUCUUCAGGGAAAAUCCAGGGAAUCUGGGCUAGAACGUCAAGCUCUUGACAUAAGCAAAGUAGAUGGCAUCUACAGAGCAACAUUGCAGAGGUAGCCUCAUGUGAUGCCCUCCAGCAUUGGUGCAGCCAUCAAUGCCAAACUUACUGAAAUUAGAUGUAAAAAGAAAACACAAAAACAUCCAGAAACCCUAAUGCUGUUUGAUGAUUGAUUGUAAUGACCAAAUAUUCUUUUUGCUUUGUGUAUUGUUUAUGCAAAGAAAUUGUUCAUUGGUUUGCUAUCAUCCUAAAUAACUGCAUGUGGAAAAUAAUUUCAUUGUCAUAGAA